CGGACGUGGGUAACCUGCCUCAUACAGGGGGAUAGCAGCUGGAAACGGCUGAUAAAACCGCAUAAGCGCACAGCAUCGCAUGAUGCAGUGUGAAAAACUCCGGUGGUAUGAGAUGGACCCGCGUCUGAUUAGCUAGUUGGUGAGGUAACGGCCCACCAAGGCGACGAUCAGUAGCCGGCCUGAGAGGGUGACCGGCCACAUUGGGACUGAGACACGGCCCAA
rnacentral:rRNA from 1 species